rnacentral:tRNA from 1 species
GCCGGCGUAGCUCAGUGGUUAGAGCAGGGGCAUCAUAAGCCCAAGGUCGCGGGUUCAAAUCCUGCCGCCGGCAC